rnacentral:rRNA from 1 species
GACGAACGCUGGCGGCGUGCUUAACACAUGCAAGUCGAACGGAAAGGCCCUGCUUUUGUGGGGUGCUCGAGUGGCGAACGGGUGAGUAACACGUGAGUAACCUGCCCUUGACUUUGGGAUAACUUCAGGAAACUGGGGCUAAUACCGGAUAGGAGCUCCUGCUGCAUGGUGGGGGUUGGAAAGUUUCGGCGGUUGGGGAUGGACUCGCGGCUUAUCAGCUUGUUGGUGGGGUAGUGGCUUACCAAGGCUUUGACGGGUAGCCGGCCUGAGAGGGUGACCGGCCACAUUGGGACUGAGAUACGGCCCAGACUCCUACGGGAGGCAGCAGUGGGGAAUAUUGCACAAUGGGCGGAAGCCUGAUGCAGCAACGCCGCGUGCGGGAUGACGGCCUUCGGGUUGUAAACGGCUUUCGCCUGCGACGAAGCGUGAGUGACGGUAAUGGGUAAAGAAGCACCGGCUAACUACGUG